ACAUUGAAGCAAUGUUCUAUUAUAGUUGUGUGUGUACGUGYGAGAGGAAAGAGGGUCCAAAGAAGAAGUAACAUCCUUGGGUCCCGUUUCUGGUUGUUAGCAUGUAGCCAGAAGCAUCUUUGGUCCAAGGGAGAAAUUUGUUUUAGUACUUGGCAUCAAACAUGACCCAUACUGUCGGGAGAGCUGCGGGCAAAAGACAG
rnacentral:lncRNA from 1 species